rnacentral:rRNA from 1 species
AUUGAACGCUGGCGGCAGGCCUAACACAUGCAAGUCGAGCGAGCGGCGGACGGGUGAGUAAUGUCUGGGAAACUGCCUGAUGGAGGGGGAUAACUACUGGAAACGGUAGCUAAUACCGCAUACCAUCAGAUGUGCCCAGAUGGGAUUAGCUAGUAGGUGGGGUAAGGGCUCACCUAGGCGACGAUCCCUAGCUGGUCUGAGAGGAUGACCAGCCACGCUGGAACGGGGACACGGUCCAGACUCGUACGGGAGGCAGCAGUGGGGAAUCUAGCAGAAUGGGCGCAAGCCAGAUGCAGCCAUGGCGCGGGUGUGAAGAAGGCCUUCGGGGUGUAAAGCACUUGCAGCGGGGAGGCGUUACCCGCAGAAGAAGCACCGGCUAACUCCGUGCCAGCAGCCGCGGUAAUAC